ensembl:lncRNA
AUGCCAUUUGCUCUUAUGUUCUUCUGGGAUGUUCACAUGGUAUUUAACAAACAACUAGGUCUAGAUCAGGUCUUGACAAACUACAGAAAACUACAAUUCUGGAGCAUGCCCCUUUUUGUUUUACAGGCACACAGCCACACCCAUUUGUCUGCUUAUUAUCUCUGGCUGCUUUUGCUCUACAAUGGCAGAGGUUUUGGGGUACAUGUCAAGAACAUGCAAGAUAGUUGCACAGCUCACUCUGAUGGAAGCCAGCUGCUAUGUUGUGUUUUGCUCUAUGGAGAGGCCCAGGUAGAAGGAAUUGAAGGAGGCUUUCAGCCAACAGUCAGCAAGGAACUGAGGCUGUCAGUCCAAGAGCCUAAAAGGAACUGAAUCCUACCAGCAACCAUGCAAGUGACUUGAAAGUGGAGCCUCUCCCAGCUGAGCCUUUGAAUAAGACCACAGCCCCAUAUAAUACCUUGAUUGUAGUCUUGUUAGAGAUCUUGAGCCAGUGGCACUCAGAUAAGCUGUACCUGGAUUCCUGAACCAUAAAACCCCAGAAAUAGUAAAUGUUUGUCAUUUUGAACUGUGAAUUCUUCUUGCAGGUAAUUUCUUAUGCAGAAAGAGAUAACAAAUACACAGAUCAUAUAAAUAAAGUGGCUCAGUUUGCCUGGAACCUCAGGGUCUGUAUUCUUUACCCUGAUUCCAGGGUCUGUAUGUUUUAUCUCGGUGCAAUGAAGAGUUUGAUUAGCCUGCACUUUUAUAAGCUACUAUUUCUACCACAUUAAAUUAGAUAGUCUUUCAGUUCUUCUUCAAUUCUAUUUGUUCUUUGAAAGACUCUUUUCUAACUAGAAACAACCUGUUGCUGAAAUGAGGAAUUAUUUUCCAAGUAGGCAAUUUCCUUGAGUCAUGAAAAUUUAGGGUUAGAAGGAACUUAAAAAUUCACAUAGUCCAAAUCAACCUGUUCCCAAUUUUUACAGAUGGGAAAUUAGACCCAACAAAAUUAAGAGCCUUGCCUAAAGUUAUACAAUUAGUAAAAGAAUGAGGAUUAAAAUUCAGGUCUCCUAAUGUCCAGUUUAGAACCGAUUGAUAGCUCUAUAUGGCCAUAGCUCACUACCACAUUCUGGACCUGGAGUAGAAUCAAUUCGAUUCCUAUUCAUUUUAGCUGUACAAAAACACAAGAAUCUUAAAGGGAACAGCUGAGCAGGAUAUUUAUUUCCUUUGCUCUGAGGCUCACCUCCCCUGAAAGAGGGGUCAACAGCCUGUGUCCAAUUGAAUGACUAUUCAUCUUCCAGUCUCUUAACCACAGCACUGGAUCCAACAUGGCAAUGAAGUUUUUCAUAUUGAGAGCCAACUCCAAAUGAUUGUCUUGGCUCUUUGGACUGCUUAUUGAGAAGCAUUUCCUGAGAUGAAGUGGAAGAGAGCUGUGAUCAGCUAGUAAUGUCAGCCAUAAGAGGAGGUUAGGGGUGUGGUGGAGUGCAUGCCAUAUUUUGCCCACUGGGAUUUCUGUGGAUUUCGGUCCAGGUCCUUCCUUUGAUGACCCACUCUCUUCCUGCUAUGACCCAUUCUUCCCAUACAAGUUGCCCAGGAAGGCUCACUCUUAAGGCUCCCUUGGCCCUAAUUUCUGGAAUCUUUUUUCUCAUUUGAUGUGAGAUUUAGCACACAAGUGGCAUUGGUGGAAUUCACCUUGUAAGUGAGUGUGGUGUUAGAAACAGAGCCAGUUCUCAAAUCCUUGUGGGUUUAAUGCUUUUAUGGCUUUGUAGUCUUUGUUUCUGGCUAGACUUAAAAAUCACAUUGCCAGUAGACUGUGAGUACACCAAAUACAUAAAUAAAUAAAUAAUGCAGGAAGGUACAACUUUGCACAUGCUUACUCUGUUGUCUUUUUCAAAAACAUUUCAUCUUCCUCAGUCCCAGGGGGUCAUGAGAAUAAAUUUACAUGUCAGUGUUAGUCCAGAAGUAAAAGACAGGGAAAAGACUGGUGCUGUAGAUCAAAAGCACAAUUAACAUGUACCUUGAGAUCUGGACAACUGAAGAAGCUGUGAGGUAGGACUUAAAUAUCUCUGUGGGUGGCAGUUUCAACAUUGUAAAAUUGCUGUGUUUUUACCCCCCCUUUUUAGCAGAGUUCUGUGUUAGGCAAUGUUAGAAUUCAAAUACGUGACUGGGGAGUGUUCAUUUCCUUUUAUUCUUCUGCCUGCUUUUUGACUUUCUUCUUCCAUAUUGAUCCAUUUUACUCUCUUUUUGAUGACCCAAGUUUUUCUCUAUUAUUACUUUUCAGCAUUGAAGUGCUAAAGACCUCAAUGAAAAUGUUUUACUUUUCACAAUAUUUUUAAUCAGAAGCUUAUUUUAUUGAAAUAGUAAGAUAAUUCUAGAACCCCCUUUAUUAUCUAAAUAUUCUUGCCCUUGCCUUCUGGAAAACACAAAACCCUUUCUCUCUUAAUGGGAAAGCAACACAAACCUGAACAUGACAUGAUGAUUUGAGCCGUGUAAUUUGAACAAGUCACUGACUGUAUGCUUCUUUUGUAUCCAGAGAUAAAUUGUGUGUGUGUGUGUGUGUGUGUGUGAGAGAGAGAGAGAGAGAGAGAGAGAGAGAGAGAGAGAGAGAGAGAUUGGAAUGAGAUUAGCAGUUUAACCCCCUUUGAAAUUUUGAGAUUAUGGGAAGGAGAAGAUGAGCUAGUGAGAAUUCCCUAUCCUUCUUCAACCAGAGCCACUGUUUUGUGUAAGGGCUCUUUGCAUUAGAGUUAAUUUGAAAGACAGUUUCUAUUUUUUUUUAAUUUGAAAAUUACCUGAAUCCAUGAGCCUUACAUUCCUUCUACCUCUAACAUUUUACACUACCUACAUGUAAUCAGAUGGUCCCAGGUUUAAGAAUGUUGUCUCUUUCAGAUGUCUUUGUGUUUGAGUUAGAACCACACCAUACUGUGGGUUUUCAGGCAAGUUAUUCUCUCAAGGCCUUAGCUCUCCUCUUCUCUAAAAUGGACACAAGAGUUGUACCAACCUCAGUGAUGGUGGUGACAAUCAAAUGAGACAACUCACAGUGUCCAGCAAAUUAUGAAUGCUCAAUAAGCGUUAGUCAAUACUAUUAGUCUAAAGAAAUGCUUGAAUUACACAUGGUAGUUUCACCUUCCUUUAUUAAUUUGAUUUAUGAUUAUUUCAAAUAAGACUUCUCCUAGGACAAACUCCAGGUCAAUAAAAUAGAAUAUCUUAUGCUUUGCUGCUGUUUUAACUUGACAUUGCAGGGAAAAUUUAUUUAUAUAAUUUUAGAGUAUUAAGAGUAAAGAGAUAUGCAAAACAUACUGCAUUGUAUCCUAUAGAUUUCUGUCCAAAAACUUUCAGUUAAAAGUUAAAAUGACAAAAAAAAAGUUCAGAUGAAAUGAAUUGUUUCUGUGGAUGGUGCUGUGCUAUCAGCUUUUUCAUAAAUUUUAAGCUUAUAUCUGGAAAAUUUUAUUUUUUAUUUAGGUCUUUGAGUCUCGGUUUCUUGAUCUGUGAAGUCAAGGAAUUAGACCAAUAACUUUGUAGAUUCAAUGUUGAUUAUUCAAAAUUUAUUACAAGUAAUAUGGUACUCUAAUCAAUUUGUCUCAUUUCUCCAGGCCUGUUUCCUCAGCUGCAAACUGAGGAGAAAAUGUUCUUACCUAUCAGCUGCCUUUAAUUUUAACAUUGGAGUUUUAACUCUUCUAUUUCUGCUCUUCCUUAACUAAGUUAGUAUAUGGUUAUCAAUCAUCCAAACUAUAACAUAUCACACAUUCAUUUCUGAUGUUUCCAGGUGCACAGUGAAAAGCUUGUGAACAUAUACUAGGCAACUGCUGGGUGCUACAGGCAUAGUAAUGAAAAGCCAUGUUUCCUGACUUCAGGAACUUGGACAUCAGACAUAGAAUGAUGAAGACCAUAAGGAUGAGGGUGAGGAUGAUGAUAAUGACAGAGAUAAUAAAUGUAAAGAUAAUUGCUUUAAUAGGAAUAAGUACAAUAUUCACUGGAGACAAAAGAUCUAGAGAAUCUAAAUCAGUUCCCAGCAACCUCAUAAAAAAAAGUUGACUUCCACAAAGAUGAUCACACUUUUCUUUUUGUAAUAGUCUUUUUCCCAAGUUUACAUGACACAUCUUUAUAUUUUUUUUUGGUUUUUCAUUCUUCUCUCACUGCUGCUUCUAUCUCCUUUCAUAUUACACUGUCCUCUACUUGACCACUAAGUGUCAGAAUUUUUAAAAGUCACAUUCCUUGGUCCCCUUUUCUUCUAACUCUUUUCUCUUUCCCUAGAAAGUCUGACCAUGUAGAUGGCUAGAAUUAUUACCUAUAAACAAAUAACACAUUUUUAUCUCUAGCCAAGAUUCCUUUACUGAAUUUCAGACCUAUUUAAUUGCUAACACAACAUCUCUUCUUGGAGGUCUCAACAUCACCUCAAACUCAAAUGCCCAAUUCAACUUCAUAAGCUUUCCUCCAUUGUGACUUUCUUUCAGUAUUGUUUGUUUCAGUUAAUGACUUUGCAUAAGACCCACAGACCUGGGUCCGAUUCCUGGCUGUAUUAUCUGCUGCCAGAUGACCUUAGUCAAGUUACUUUAUUUCCUAUGGUCUCAGUUUCCUCAUCUGUACCCAUCACUCAACUGUACCCUAGUUAAAAGGGUCAAUUCUUUUUAACUAGGAGGCUGAACCUGAAAGAAUUUUG